GCUCCCUCCGCCAGCUGCCGGAUCUAACUUGUGGGCCUUCUCGGCGCGCCGACUUCCGCGCCUGAGCGGCCGUGACGUAGCCGGUCUCCUCCUCUCGUCCUCCCGCGGCGCUGGUCUCUUGUGACGUCAGCAGCAGAAUCCUCUCAGUCGAAAUAGUGCUAAGUGAGGGGCGGGCCGGAUGGGCUGGUUGCCUGCUCCUCCCCCAACCUGAACUUGUUUUGUAAAGGAAACCUCUUGUAAUUUCCUAAGACUUUAGAUUAAGUCUUUAAACUGUUCCCGUUUCCUAAUAAGGGAGAAAACGGCCCUCACCCUAGUUCCAGCUCCUUCCAAGCUGAGAGUUCUGUUAGAAUGGUCUGCAAACAAAACCCACAAUAUCUCUGAGGUACAGCUGGAGGAGUCUGGACUGAAUUGCCAAGAUGGGGCCUGUUGUGCUGCUGUGGUAUCCUCUGAUCACCUAGAAGAACCUUGAAGGUAGAGAAUCAUUCUUCCUCCUCAACAGUUGGCAUAGCCAGCAGGAUAAACUUUAGCUGGCUGGACACUGCUGCGGCUGAGAGAUUAUGGGACAUCUGACAAAAGCUGGCACGAGGGAAGAAUCCCCAUCACCACAUCAGCCAACUGGAUCUCUGCCUGCCAGGUCUCGUGCAAGUGAGAGUGAUGGUCCCCAAAAUAUCCUGAGGUUCCUGCACCUGCCUGGAAGUGGCCCUCUUUACUUACCUGUAGGCUUCACAUCCAGUGCGGAGCAGAGCACAGGGUAUUAACUCACAACCCUGACAUCAAGACCUGAGCGGAGAUCAAGAGGCAGAUGCUUAACUGAUUAUAGAUUACUACCCCUAUCACCUUAUUGCAACUGAGGACUCAACAACAUGACCAGCAUCACCAAAUCCAACCUUGCCACCCCUCCCCUUUACUAUAAGAUCUAUCUAUUCACUGUGAAACCUUCAAUCAAUGGGGAAACCAAAUACCUAGGGAAGCUGAUAAAGUGGAAACUUCUACUUCAAUCUCCAUGAGAAUCAUUAUGGAUCCUGAACAACACGCCCUAUUAGAAACUGACUUGAAGGAGAAAGAUUGGCCUGAACCACUAACUGUCUCUUGGUAUUAUAAGCUAGCGUAUAUACCAAGACAACCAGCCAAAACUCUCAAUGCACCAAGCCCCUGCUUCUUUGACCCACAGCUGAUAAAGAGAGAUACACUCCUGUACUGUAAAGGCCUAAUUGCUUCUAUUAAAAUAUCCAUGCUUGUGGUAGAGCAUUCUUUACAGAGUGCUCCCAGGAAAUGAAGACCUUAAACAUCACCUCUUGCAACCUGGGAACUUCAUCUGUUGGAAAAGACACCUCUAGAAAGACUCUCUUCCACUCCUUUGGAAAGACCCCAUCAGGUACUGUUAACCAACACUUGUGCAACCAAACACCAAGGAAUAGAUACUUGGCUUCAUGUGUUACAUCUAAAGAAAGCACCAAUCCAUUCUGGACCUGCACACCAACUGGUGACUAAAAGUCAAGAUUUCCAGGAAUUGAAGCAAGUGACACCUGAAGGAGACAGAUUUCCUAGAAUAAGAUGAUCAGACCUUUAUACCCUUUUCCCACUGCUCCUUCUUACUUUUUUCUCCUCUUUCUCUUGGGGAGGCAAUGCUCUUAUUCACAUUCCGUAGUCUAUUGCAAAAGGGGUAAACCUCUCUGACUGUUGGAUCUCUCACCAAGAAACUCCAGUGUUUACAAUGUGAGAGACCACUUGGUCUUACUUGUAACUAAUUUCUCUUUAGUCUCAAAUACUACUGCUGAUUUUACCUACAAGCCUAGGGGUGUUACUCAUGUGGGUAGGUUAAGACCAGGUGUUUCUAUUUCUUGUUUCAACCACUACUGAACUAAACAUUUCCACAAAAGUCAGUCAUACAACCCUUGCUCCUCUAUUUUUCCUUAUCUAAAUAUGAUCUGUUCCCCCACCUCCUAAGAAAAUACAAUGGAGCUUAUACCUUUCUGUGAGGCUUUCAGAAAAGGGAUGAAGGGAUAAGUUCUUACAGAAUGUCAUCCCAACAUUGACCCAUGGCUUGGAAAGGUCAGAAAAUUUCAGCUAAUAAAUCUAUGAAUAACCAGACCUUAGCAGGCAUCCUCUGUGCUCCACUUGGGUUUUUUGUUUGUUUGCAGUGGAUACCAUUUCCCAGGCGCAUAUGAGUGUUUACAUGUUUAGAUACCUGGUGAAUCAGAGGUCAAUGUGUAUCAGGGCAUUUAACUGCCCCUGUUAACAGCCAUAGCAAAUCAAUAUCCUCUCACUGGUCCAUCCCACUGAGCCUGUCUCUCUGCCAUAAACAGAAUCUUCCAGGAGGCACACAUGAUUCUCGGUUUGGGGACCCUUUCUCCCACCAAUGGAUUAGAGUAAAUGCCAAUGGAUGCAUGAUUAGAAAUCUCUUCCACAAGCAAAGUGGUAACAGCCCAACAAGGAUCACUUGACUCACUGGUUAAAGUAAUUUUGUAUAAUUGCAUAGCCCUUGAUUAUUACUUACUCACCAAGGUGUUGCACAAUAGUGAAUACCUGUUGCACCUGGAUGAAUUCCCCUGGGAAGUAAAACCCAGGUGCAUAAAAUUAGAGAAUGAAUACAUUGGCUACAAUCAAUUCCACCUAAUGAUCCAUGUCCUUUACUUAGCUGAUCACCUCUUUGGUUUGGGCUCUUAAUUUUAUAUUAUACCAACUAGAGUCAUUUUACUGCUUUUAGUCUUAUUUUGUAUAAUCAGUUUUAACUUUGUACCUAUUGCCUGUCAGAUCUCUGCAUAACUGAUGCACCAGGUAGGGUGAUGCUGGUUCAGUGCUUUGAGAGGACCUCCAGUGCUUACAGCCUUGAGAAGAAACAGACUUUAGGUGGAAGAUACCUAAAAGUUGUCCCUCCUACCCUUCCUUAUUAAUCAAAUGUGGCCUUGAUAGUUUCUAAUCAGUGCACCUUCCCUCCAUGAGAAGACAUACCAACCAGGGAAGGUUGUUCCUGGCACCAAGGGACAAAAUGCUAAAUGCAGGGGCGCCUGGGUGGCACA